AUGCCGGAGGGGCUUAAUGAUACUAUCAUCGUUCUAAUACCAAAAGGCAAUGAUCCGAAAAUUUUGAAAGACUUUCGUCCCAUUAGCUUGUACAAUGUUAUAUAUAAGGUGAUUUCGAAGUGCUUGGUUAACUGACUGCGUCCUAUCCUAGAUGAACUCAUUUCGGAGUCGCAGAGUGCUUUCAUUCCAGGGCGUACCAUCACAGAUAAUGCCCUCAUUGCCUUUGAGUUCUUCCAUAAAAUCCAACAUAGCAAGUGUUGGGGAACGUAG
rnacentral:rRNA from 1 species